rnacentral:rRNA from 1 species
AAAGGAAUAGACGGGGACUUGCACAAGCAGUGGAUUAUGUGGUUUAAUUCGAUGGUAAACGAAGCACCUCACCAAGACUUGAAACCUACACGACAGCCCUAGAAACAGGGUCUUCCGCAAGGACGGGUAGGCAGGUGUUGCAUGGCCGUCGUCAGUUCGUGGUUUGAAUUGUUCCCUUAAGUGGGGUAACGAACGCAACCCUCGUCGUGUGUUACAAGUGUCACACGAGACUGCCCCGAACAAAGGACGUAAUUAUCAAGUUGAUAAUUGUUUCUUUCGUUCGGGGAGGAAGGAGAGGAUGACGCCAGGUCAGCAUGACCCUCUGAUGUCUUGGGCUACACACAUAAUACAAUCGCUACUACAACGGGUCGCGACGGGGUAACCCUGAGCCAAUCCUUAUAAAGGUAGCGCCAGUUCGGAUUGAGGUCUGCAACUCGACCUCAUGAAGCCGGAAUUGCUAGUAAUCGCAGGUCAGACAUACUGCGGUGAAUACGUUCUCAAGUCUUGUACACACCGCCCGU